CGAGAAAGCCCGCAAGGGUGAGUAAAGCGGCGCACGGGUGCGUAACACGUGGGUAAUCUGCCCUGGAGCCCGGAAUAACCUCCCGAAAGGGAAGCUAAUGCCGGAUGAGCCCACGGGGUCCUUGGACCCUGAGGGAAUAGGUGGCCUCUGCAUGCAAGCUAUCACUUCAGGAUGAGCCCGCGGCCCAUCAGCUCGUUGGCGGGGUAACGGCCCACCAAGGCUACGACGGGUAGCUGGUCUGAGAGGACGAUCAGCCACACUGGAACUGAGACACGGUCCAGACUCCUACGGGAGGCAGCAGUGGGGAAUCUUGCGCAAAGGGCGAAAGCCUGACGCAGCAACGCCGCGUGUGUGAUGAAGGUCUUCGGAUCGUAAAGCACUGUCGCGAGGGACG
rnacentral:rRNA from 1 species